AUUCCGUAUUCCUGUUAAAAAAAGAAAAGAAAAGAAAAGAAAAAAAUUAGGACCAGGGCAAUCUUUGCGUUUCCUCCACGCUUCCGUUUUCAUUUUGAUGUCGCUGGCAGGCCGCGUCAUAUAAAUAUUACUAUUCCCAGUCCACAUGAACCGCCCUGAGCAGAAUCAAUGGCUGCUUCCACUUCUCUUCCUUUCCUCUCGGCUUAUUCUUCAAUUCUGCUUCUCUCUCUGAGCGGUGCUUUCUUGAUUUCGGCGGCCCCCGAGAGUGCUCUGAUCACUCAUCUCCCGGGCUUCAAUGCCACCUUCCCAUCCAAGCACUACUCUGGGUAUGUGACUGUUGAUGAGGGCCAUGGGAGGAAUCUCUUCUACUACUUCGUGGUCUCAGAAGGAAACCCGUCCGAGGACCCCGUGGUCAUGUGGCUCAAUGGCGGGCCAGGUUGCUCCAGCUUCGAUGGCUUCAUCUAUGAGCAUGGUCCCUUCAACUUUCAGUCUGGAGGGUCUGCUGGGAGCAUGCCACAGCUGCAUCUCAAUCCUUACAGCUGGUCUAAGGUCUCUAACAUUCUCUAUUUGGACUCUCCUGCGGGUGUUGGAAUGUCAUAUUCAAAUGAUGAAUCAGAUUAUGCUACUGGAGAUCUGAAGACUGCCUCUGAUUCACACAAAUUUAUUUUGAAGUGGUUUGAACUAUACCCAGAGUUCCAACAGAAUCCUUUCUAUAUUUCCGGAGAAUCAUAUGCUGGAGUCUAUGUUCCAACUCUUGCAUCUGAAGUUGCCAAAGGAAUUGAAGAUGGUGUAAAGCCUACAAUCAACUUUAAGGGCUAUAUGGUCGGAAAUGGUGUUGCCGACACGGUAUUUGAUGGGGAUGCUCUUGUUCCGUUUGCUCAUGGAAUGGGUCUUAUAUCGAACGAUUUAUUUCAGGAGGCUAAUACUGCCUGCCAUGGAAGUUACUGGAAUCCAGUAAAUGAGAGCUGCCAAAACAUGCUAGACAGGGUUGAUCGGGAACUUCGUAACCUAAACAUCUAUGAUAUCCUUGAGCCAUGCUACCAUGGUCGCGAAAUUAGAGAUGGUUUGUCUGGGAACAGCCGUUUGCCUUCAAGUUUCAGAAGACUAGGUGAGACUGAUAGGCCUCUCCCAAUAAGGAAAAGAAUGUUUGGCCGUUCUUGGCCUCUGAGAGCUCCAGUACGAGAUGGAUAUGUUCCAACUUGGCCAGAGCUGGGAAGUUCUUCAGUUCCUUGCAUGAGUGAUGAAGUUGCAACUUCAUGGCUAAAUAAUGAAGAAGUGAGAUCUGCAAUUCAUGCCCAGCCGGCAAGUUUGGUGGGACCAUGGGAGUUAUUUACUGGAAAAAUAUACUUUAGUCAUGAUGCUGGAAGCAUGAUCAAGUAUCACAGGAACCUCACUGAACAAGGUUAUCGUGCACUCAUAUUCAGUGGUGACCAUGACAUGUGUGUGCCUUUCACUGGGAGUGAAGCAUGGACUAGAUCGCUAGGAUUUCGAAUUGUUGAUGAAUGGAGGCCCUGGUUCUUUGAUGAACAAGUUGCUGGGUAUUUAACCUAGCCUCCCCUCUCCCCUCUUCUCCUCUUUUUCAGGGUUCAAACAAAUUUUUGUUAUUAAUUGUUCCACUUCCAGUAAUUUAAAGAGAUUUUCACACUUUGCUCCCAAAACAAGUUAGAUUUCUCAUAAAAAGAAAUUUAAAUAUUUCUUGUCGAAGCACCUCUGCACAGACAACAAUUUGUGGUUGAAUAUAAGCUUCCUGAGUGUAACACUCACUGAGACUGCACUCCACUUCCAUAUACAUCCAAGGCUAUGAGCACAAUCUCACCUUUCUCACCAUAAAGGGAGCAGGUCAUACAGUACCUGAAUACAAGCCAGGGGAGGCAUUGACCUUCUACAGCCGUUGGCUGGCAAGCACAAAAAUCUGAAACAUAAAAAUCAGAAUUUUUCUGCAUGUCUUAUUGUAAACUGGUUAAUAAAUCACAAAACAUUUUUGCUGCAUAAGCAAAAGUCGAUGUGGCUGAAGCGCAGCUGUUCCAAAUUCUCUUGCAAUGCUGCAAUCGCAUUCAAAAACUGCCACUCAGAUGAAUCUAAUAGCCACUUGAGAUGCAUGAUUCAAUAUAUUUUUUCGUAAAA